CCUGGCCCCACGUGCGGUGCCAUCCUGCUGAACUCCCCCAGGACCGGAAGGUAGCAAGGGUAAGCGGGCUCUGGCAGGUGCACGUGGGGCUCUUAAU
rfam:Nesterenkonia sp. AN1 contig-1, whole genome shotgun sequence.